CGGCGUGCCUAAUACAUGCAAGUCGAACGCUUCUUUCCUCCCGAGUGCUUGCACUCAAUUGGAAAGAGGAGUGGCGGACGGGUGAGUAACACGUGGGUAACCUACCCAUCAGAGGGGGAUAACACUUGGAAACAGGUGCUAAUACCGCAUAACAGUUUAUGCCGCAUGGCAUAAGAGUGAAAGGCGCUUUCGGGUGUCGUUGAUGGAUGGACCCGCGGUGCAUUAGCUAGUUGGUGAGGUAACGGCUCACCAAGGCCACGAUGCAUAGCCGACCUGAGAGGGUGAUCGGCCACACUGGGACUGAGACACGGCCCAGACUCCUACGGGAGGCAGCAGUAGGGAAUCUUCGGCAAUGGACGAAAGUCUGACCGAGCAACGCCGCGUGAGUGAAGAAGGUUUUCGGAUCGUAAAACUCUGUUGUUAGAGAAGAACAAGGACGUUAGUAACUGAACGUCCCCUGACGGUAUCUAACCAGAAAGCCACGGCUAACUACGUGCCAGCAGCCGCGGUAAUACGUAGGUGGCAAGCGUUGUCCGGAUUUAUUGGGCGUAAAGCGAGCGCAGGCGGUUUCUUAAGUCUGAUGUGAAAGCCCCCGGCUCAACCGGGGAGGGUCAUUGGAAACUGGGAGACUUGAGUGCAGAAGAGGAGAGUGGAAUUCCAUGUGUAGCGGUGAAAUGCGUAGAUAUAUGGAGGAACACCAGUGGCGAAGGCGGCUCUCUGGUCUGUAACUGACGCUGAGGCUCGAAAGCGUGGGGAGCAAACAGGAUUAGAUACCCUGGUAGUCCACGCCGUAAACGAUGAGUGCUAAGUGUUGGAGGGUUUCCGCCCUUCAGUGCUGCAGCAAACGCAUUAAGCACUCCGCCUGGGGAGUACGACCGCAAGGUUGAAACUCAAAGGAAUUGACGGGGGCCCGCACAAGCGGUGGAGCAUGUGGUUUAAUUCAAAGCAACGCGAAGAACCUUACCAGGUCUUGACAUCCUUUGACCACUCUAGAGAUAGAGCUUUCCCUUCGGGGACAAAGUGACAGGUGGUGCAUGGUUGUCGUCAGCUCGUGUCGUGAGAUGUUGGGUUAAGUCCCGCAACGAGCGCAACCCUUAUUGUUAGUUGCCAUCAUUUAGUUGGGCACUCUAGCGAGACUGCCGGUGACAAACCGGAGGAAGGUGGGGAUGACGUCAAAUCAUCAUGCCCCUUAUGACCUGGGCUACACACGUGCUACAAUGGGAAGUACAACGAGUCGCUAGACCGCGAGGUCAUGCAAAUCUCUUAAAGCUUCUCUCAGUUCGGAUUGCAGGCUGCAACUCGCCUGCAUGAAGCCGGAAUCGCUAGUAAUCGCGGAUCAGCACGCCGCGGUGAAUACGUUCCCGGGCCUUGUACACACCGCCCGUCACACCACGAGAGUUUGUAACACCCGAAGUCGGUGAGGUAACCUUUUUGGAGCCAGCCGCCUAAGGUGGGAUAGAUGAUUGG
rnacentral:rRNA from 1 species